AUGAGAUGGUUGUGUCUGAAGCCUGAACUGCAUGGCUUACUGGUAUUGGAAAUCCAGUUCCUUACCUCAGCAUUUGCUGUUGCAAAAUUUAUACAGAAGGGAGGUUCCUUCAUAAAUUAUUACAUGUAUCAUGGAGGAGAAAACUUUGGACGGACUGCUGGCGGUCCAUUUAUUGCUACUAGUUAUGACUAUGAUGCACCUCUUGAUGAAUAUGAUAUGCACUUUUUCUUUGUAAUUUUGUUUAGAUUAAGUUUCUUCAGAUUAUUGCGACAACCUAAAUGGGGUCAGCUGAAAGAUCUGCAUAGAGCAAUGAAGCUUUGUGAACCAGCUUUAGUCCCUGGAGAUCCAGCUGUGACAGCACUUGGACACCAGCAGGAGGUCCAUGUUUUUAGGUCAAAGUCUGGCUCGUGUGCUGCAUUCUUUGCAAACUAUGACCAACUUUCUUUUGCUACCGUGUCAUUUGCAAACAGGCACUACAGCUUGCCACCAUGGUCAAUCAGCAUUCUUCCCGACUGCAAGAACACUGUAUUUAAUACAGCAUGGAUUGGUGCUCAAAGCGCUCAGAUGAAGAUGACUCCAGUCAGCAGAGGAUUGCCCUGGCAGUCAUUCAAUGAAGGACAGCAUCUUAUGAAGACAGUAGUUUUACAGUUAUUGGGUUAUUGGAACAGAUAAAUACAACAAGAUCAUGUCUGAUUAUUUGUGGUAUUCAACUGAUGUCAAGAUUGAUUCAAGAGAAAAGUUUUUGAGAGGCGGAAAAUGGCCUUGGCUUACGAUCAUGUCAGCUGGCCAUGCAUUGCAUGUUUUUGUGAAUGGUCAAUUAGCAGGAACUGCAUAUGGAAGUUUAGAAAAACCGAAACUGGCUUUCAGUAAAGCUGUAAAUCUGAGAGCAGGUGUUAACAAGAUUUCUCUGCUGAGCAUUGCUGUUGGCCUUCCAAAUAUUGGCCCACAUUUUGAAACAUGAAAUGCUGGUGUUCUUGGGCCAGUCUCACUCAGUGGUCUUGACGAGGGGAAAAUAGAUUUAACAUGGCAGAAAUGGUCUUACAAGGUUGGUCUUAAAGGAGAAGCCUUGAACCUCCAUUCACUCAGUGGUAGCUCAUCAGUUAAGUGGGUUGAGGGUUCUUUGGUGGCUCAGAGACAGCCACUCACAUGGUACAAGAGCACUUUCAAUGCUCCAGCUGGAAAUGAUCCUUUGGCUUUAGACUUGAAUACCAUGGGCAAAGGUCAAGUGUGGAUAAAUGGUCAAAGCCUCGUACGCUACUGGCCUGGAUAUAAAGCAUCUGGUAACUGUGGUGCCUGUAACUAUGCAGGUUGGUUUGAUGAGAAGAAGUGCCUAAGUAAAUGUGGAGAGGCUUAGCAACAAUGGUAAGUAAUGGUAAACCUUAUGGCAUUUUCCUUCGAUGUAACAAGAAGCUCCAACUUAACUUAACUGGGGAAUUGGCAUGCAAAUGCAAGCAUCUGGUAAAGUCGACAGACCACCAAGGCCUAAAGCUCACCUCUCGUGUGCUUCUGGUCAGAAGAUCACUGCAAUCAAAUUUGCAAGCUUCGGAACACCACAAGGGGUCUGCGGAAGCUUCCGAGAAGGAAGCUGCCACGCCUUCCACUCAUAUGAUGCUUUUGAAAGGUAUUGCAUCGGGGAAAACUCGUGCUCAGUACCUGUAACACCAGAGAUCUUUGGAGGUGAUCCAUGUCCACAUGUUAUGAAGAAACUCUCAGUUGAGGUUAUUUGCAGUUGAUGACACUGAGGAUAAACAAAUAAAGUGGUUUCAGUUAGUUGUCUGAAGAUAUAUAUUUGAAGAUUCAUUACAUAUCAAAAAGUUGGCUUUGAUGGAGGUGAAGUUGUACAGAUAUGCAACACACCUUUCCAUUUGAGGUUCAUAUGAAUUGCAAUGGCCCAAGAUUCUGUACAUAUUAUGUUGGUUACUGUCAAGUUGGUAUUGGUUUGCAAAUGUAAAACAAUAGUAUAGUCAUUGGUUCAAGUGCACAUCAAGAUUGUGCUAGUGGGAGGUAGCAGGUUCUGGAGGAAUAGUCGAGAUUUGCACAAGCUGGCCUAGAUACUACGGUUAUAACAAACGAAGCACAUUGAGACUGAUUCUUGAUUAGUCCAUGUGUAGAUAUUGUUACUGUUAGAAUUUGCAAGUCUUAUGGUUUCAGGAUUUUCAGUAUUUUAAUACUCUUUAU